GGGGAUUUAGCUCAGUGGUAGAGUGCUUGCCUAGGAUGCACAAGGCCCUGGGUUCGGUCCCCAGCUCCG
rnacentral:tRNA from 1 species